rnacentral:lncRNA from 1 species
CGCAAAUGCAAGCAAUCAGGAUAUUUAAUAACCAAAAUAAACACAAAAUAAACAUAAAGACUUAGAAAAGAAACAAGACUGAAAAACACAGAAAACAUAUAAAUAUAAAUACACACGGAGGGAAACGGAAAUGGUUGACACCUGGGGAAACAGGUAAUGAGGGGGCGGAGCAACAGAUAAGAGUCACGUGGGAGAACACAGGUGAGAACACUCAGACACAGGGAAAACACAGAGCAUGUGCAUAAACACAACACAGGAACAGGAGCACAGACGGGAAACAGGGCAAGGACGUGACACACCAAACGGAACCCUCGUGGACCAAGAGGACAGAAGCAUCUGCAGCCCUCAGAUCUCCCUCCAUCUCAGUCAGUAUUCCAGACUACAUUACCCACAAUGCCAUUCUCAUAGUCACAGUCAUAGUCACAUGCUCUCCAACAACCAAUCAUAUUCUCAUUCACUGUCACAUUGUGGAGCAGGAGAGGAGGAGGAGAGGAGGAGUAAAGGAGGUGUAGGGAAUGAGGAGGAGCAGCAAAG